CCCUUUCUGUGUGUGUUUUGAGGAAGUAAAAGUCGUAACAAGGUUUCCGUAGGUGAACCUGCGGAAGGAUCAUUAUUGAAUAAACUUGGUUGGGUUGCUGCUGGCUUUUCGGAGCAUGUGCACGCCUAGCACCAUUUUUACCACCUGUGCACUUCUUGUAGAUUUGAAACACCUCUCGAGGCAACUCGGUUUGAGGACUGCUGGGCGUAAAAGUCAAGCUUUCCUUGCGUUUCAGGUCUAUGUUUUUACAUACCCCAUAAGAAUGUUUUAGAAUGUCAUUAAUAGGCUUCAUUGCCUCUAAAUUAAUACAACUUUCAACAACGGAUCUCUUGGCUCUCGCAUCGAUGAAGAACGCAGCGAAAUGCGAUAAGUAAUGUGAAUUGCAGAAUUCAGUGAAUCAUCGAAUCUUUGAACGCACCUUGCGCUCCUUGGUAUUCCGAGGAGCAUGCCUGUUUGAGUGUCAUUAAAUUCUCAACCCUUUCAGCUUUUGCGAGCUGGAUUGGCUUGGAUAUGGGGGUUUUGCGGGCUUCUCAGAAGUCGGCUCCUCUUAAAUGCAUUAGCGGAACCUUUGUGGACCAGCUUUGGUGUGAUAAUUAUCUACGCCAUGGUUGUGAAGCAGCUUUACAUGGGGUUCAGCUUCUAACCGUCCAUUGACUUGGACAACAUCUCUGACACUUUUGACCUCAAAUCAGGUAGGACUACCCGCUGAACUUAAGCAUAUAAAAAAGGGGGGAAAAGAAAAGG
rnacentral:rRNA from 1 species